AACCUAGCACACCUGCGGUGUGUACCUGCGGAGGGAUCAUUACCGAGUUUACAACUCCCAAACCCCUGUGAACAUACCAAUUGUUGCCUCGGCGGAUCAGCCCGCUCCCGGUAAAACGGGACGGCCCGCCAGAGGACCCCUAAACUCUGUUUCUAUAUGUAACUUCUGAGUAAAACCAUAAAUAAAUCAAAACUUUUAACAAUGGAUCU
rnacentral:misc_RNA from 1 species